rnacentral:rRNA from 1 species
UACGUAGGGCCCAAGCGUUGUUCGGAAUUACUGGGCGUAAAGGGCUCGUAGGCGGCCAACUAAGUCGGAUGUGAGAUCCCCAGGCUCAACCUGGGAACUGCAUCCGAUACUGGAUGGCUUGAAUCCGGGAGAGGGAUGCAGAAUUCCAGGUGUAGCGGUGAAAUGCGUAGAUAUCUGGAGGAACACCGGUGGCGAAGGCGGCGUCCUGGACCAAUACUGACACUGAGUGAGCGAAAGCCAGGGGAGCAAACGGG